GGUUGAGCAAGUUUUCUUGCUUCAAGAUCUUCGGCUUCCAGGGUGGGAAGCU
rnacentral:ncRNA from 27 species